rnacentral:misc_RNA from 1 species
UCCCCGUUAUCCUGGGCACCCCUCCAUCUCUGGAAGGUUCGAGUGGAUUUAACCCAGGUAAGGUUCUGCGCGUUGCGUCGAAUUGAACCACAUGCUCCACCGCUUGUGCGGGCCCCCGUCAAUUCCUUUGAGUUUUAGCCUUGCGGCCGUACUCCCCAGGCGGAGUGCUUAACGCGUUAACUUCGGCACCGCAGGGGUCAAUACCCGCGACACCUAGCACUCAUCGUUUACGGCGUGGACUAC